GAGCAGAAGGUAGAAGAUUUUCCAAAUUCAGGGGAGGAAAGGGGGAGGGGUUUUUAUCUAGAGGAAGAGAGGAGCGGCCACGACUGAGAAUAGGAGCUUCUUCCCUGCCUGAUGCCGGGAACUGACUGACUGAUGGGCCUGUAGGGUUAAAGAAGAAAAUUAAAUAGAAAGCCAAGUUGACCGAGCAGGGGCUGGGAGGCUUCCGGGUGCCAGGAAGGUUGUCCCCGUCUCCGUUUGCACGGGCGUGAAGAUUUAGAGGCGCCUCCAGUGCGAGGGCUUUUAGACCGCCAUCACCUCCUGAUCCCUUUGGAAGGAAAAGCCGGCAGAGCCGAGGCAGGGGGUGUCAAGGAAAAGCUUGGACUUGUGUGCAACGCAUCCUUGGCUUUGGAUUUUAAGGACAUGAACGAGAAUUAACAGCGUCUCAAGGGAAUCUGUUCGGAGAUGGUUUCAAGAUGUAGAAGUCUUACAUGUGAAGUAUCCCAAAUGAAGUUGGAACAUCGAUGUUGAAAUUGCUUCAUGUUCUGAGAUUGAAGAGUACCACGGGAAGGCUGUAUCGCUGUAUCAUGUGCUGCUUGUGCUUCUAAAGUGUCCAGUGGAUUUUUAAUCAUAUGAGCCUCAAAACAGAGUCAUGCAAAGAGGCUCAGAAAAGAACAUGGAAAGUAGCCACCAUCAGCAUGAGGAGCCCAACAACUCAGCCUGGUGAGAUGAGAAAAACAAAAUGCAGCUUUCAAGGUUCGCUUCAAGCAAUUGGCUUGUGGGACUUUGAGAGAUGCUGCUGCCCAUGACAUGUUGGAAUUACCAUGAUCAACUACCCAGUUUGGAUUUCACCCAGUGGCCAGGAGCUUUGCAUGGUAGACAGCAAGGGUUGGAUUUUUAAAAAG